CCGCCCGUCAAGCCAUGGAAGCUGGGAGUACCCGAAACCGCUGUGCCAAUCCCGACGCAAGUCGGGAAGGCAGGCGUCUAAGGUAAGACCAGUGACUGGGGCU
rnacentral:rRNA from 1 species